UGUGGGAGCGGGCUUGCCCGCGAUUGCAGUGUGUCAGGCAACCUAUUCGUGACUGACAGAUCGCUAUCGCGGGCAAGCCCGCUCCCACA
rnacentral:antisense_RNA from 1 species